AGUGAACGCUGGCGGUAGGCCUAACACAAGCAAGUCGAACGGCAGCACAGUAAGAGCUUGCUCUUACGGGUGGCGAGUGGCGGACGGGUGAGGAAUACAUCGGAAUCUACUUUUUCGUGGGGGAUAACGUAGGGAAACUUACGCUAAUACCGCAUACGACCUACGGGUGAAAGUAGGGGAUCUUCGGACCUUGCGCGAUUGAAUGAGCCGAUGUCGGAUUAGCUAGUUGGCGGGGUAAAGGCCCACCAAGGCGACGAUCCGUAGCUGGUCUGAGAGGAUGAUCAGCCACACUGGAACUGAGACACGGUCCAGACUCCUACGGGAGGCAGCAGUGGGGAAUAUUGGACAAUGGGCGCAAGCCUGAUCCAGCCAUACCGCGUGGGUGAAGAAGGCCUUCGGGUUGUAAAGCCCUUUUGUUGGGAAAGAAAAGCAGCAGGUUAAUACCCCGCUGUUCUGACGGUACCCAAAGAAUAAGCACCGGCUAACUUCGUG
rnacentral:rRNA from 1 species